rnacentral:tRNA from 1 species
GGGAAUGUGGCUUAGUGGUAGAGCGCUUGCCUAGCAUGCAUGAAGCCCUGGGUUCGAUUUCUCAGUACCA